rnacentral:rRNA from 1 species
GAUGAACGCUAGCGGCAGGCUUAAUACAUGCAAGUCGAGGGACAGCACAGGUAGCAAUACUGGGUGGUAACCGGCAAUCGGGUGCGGAACACGUACACAACCUUCCUUUAAGUGGGGGAUAGCCCAGAGAAAUUUGGAUUAAUACCCCGUAAUAUAGUUGAAUGGCAUCAUUUGAUUAUUAUAGCUACGGCGCUUAAUGAUGGGUGUGCGGCUGAUUAGAUAGUUGGCGGGGAACGGCCCACCAAGUCUACGAUCGGUAGCUGAUGUGAGAGCAUGAUCAGCCACACGGGCACUGAGACACGGGCCCGACUCCUACGGGAGGCAGCAGUAAGGAAUAUUGGUCAAUGGACGCAAGUCUGAACCAGCCAUGCCGCGUGAAGGAUUAAGGUCCUCUGGAUUGUAAACUUCUUUUAUUUGGGACGAAAAAGGGCCUUUCUAGGUCAACUGACGGUACCAGAUGAAUAAGCACCGGCUAACUCCGUGCCAGCCGCCGCAGUAAAAC